AAGGAAAGACACUUGAAAAUAAUUCAUACCCAAUAGUUUAUAAUGAUUCUUUCCAUCUUGACAGAACGGAAAAUCUGGCUCAAUUGCGGUCGUAAGUCGAGGACUACCUCUUUCUGGAACUCCGCAUCGACAAACGCCAGCCCAUUCUUAUUUUAGUUUGACAGAUCGAACGUCAAGUAAAAAGGCCUCUUGCUUUUUCAGACUG